rnacentral:rRNA from 1 species
GAUGAACGCUGGCGGCGUGCCUAAUACAUGCAAGUCGAGCGAACGGACGAGAAGCUUGCUUCUCUGAUGUUAGCGGCGGACGGGUGAGUAACACGUGGAUAACCUACCUAUAAGACUGGGAUAACUUCGGGAAACCGGAGCUAAUACCGGAUAAUAUUUUGAACCGCAUGGUUCAAAAGUGAAAGGCGGUCUUGCUGUCACUUAUAGAUGGAUCCGCGCUGCAUUAGCUAGUUGGUAAGGUAACGGCUUACCAAGGCAACGAUGCAUAGCCGACCUGAGAGGGUGAUCGGCCACACUGGAACUGAGACACGGUCCAGACUCCUACGAGAGGCAGCAGUAGGGAAUCUUCCGCAAUGGGCGAAAGCCUGACGGAGCAACGCCGCGUGAGUGAUGAAGGUCUUCGGAUCGUAAAACUCUGUUAUUAGGGAAGAACAUAUGUGUAAGUAACUGUGCACAUCUUGACGGUACCUAAUCAGAAAGCCACGGCUAACUACGUG